rnacentral:rRNA from 1 species
ACGAACGCUGGCGGCGCGCCUAACACAUGCAAGUCGAACGGUUCUGAUUGCGAGACUAAGCUAAUUGGUGGUUCAUAUUGGCUUGGUCUUGUAAUCAGGAUAGUGGCGGACGGGUGAGUAACACGUGAGCAACCUGCCUAACGGAAUGGGAUAGCGUUUGGAAACGAACGGUAAUACCGUAUAACAUAUGCAAUGCGCAUGCACAGCAUAUCAAAGGAGCAAUCCGCUGUUAGAUGGGCUCGCGGCCAAUUAGGUAGUUGGCGGGGUAACGGCUCACCAAGCCGACGAUUGGUAGCCGGACUGAGAGGUUGAUCGGCCACAUUGGGACUGAGACACGGCCCAGACUCCUACGGGGGGCAGCAGUGGGGGAUAUUGCACAAUGGAGGAAACUCCUGAUGCAGCGACGCCGCGUGAGGGAAGACGGUCUUCGGAUUGUAAACCUCUGUCUUAGGGGAAGAGUAAAAGACGGUACCCUAGGAGGAAGCCACGGCUAACUACGUGCCAGCCGCAGC